rnacentral:rRNA from 1 species
CCUACGGGAGGCAGCAGUGGGGAAUAUUGCACAAUGGGUGCAAGCCUGAUGCAGCGACGCCGCGUGCGGGAUGGAGGCCUUCUGGUUGUAAACCGCUUUUGUUCAAGGGCAAGGCACGGUCUUUGGCCGUGUUGAGUGGAUUGUUCGAAUAAACACCGGCUAACUACGUGCCAGCAGCCGCGGUAAUACGGAGGGUGCAAGCGUUUUCCGGAUUUAUUGGGGGUAUAGGGCUCGUAGGCGUUUCGUCGCGUCUGUGGUGAAAGUGCUUGGCUUAACGGUGGAUCCGCGCCGGGUACGGGCGGGCUUGAGUGCGGUAGGGGAGACUGGAAUUCCCGGUGUAACGGUGGAAUGUGUAGAUAUCGGGAAGAACACCGAUGGCGAAGGCAGGUCUCUGGGCCGUUACUGACGCUGAGGAGCGAAAGCGUGGGGAGCGAACAGGAUUAGAUACCCCUGUAGUC